rnacentral:lncRNA from 1 species
CAACUUUCCCUACGGUAGCUUUAGCCAAGCACCUGGUAAGUGGUGUCAAAAUUACUUGACACACAAAUUAAACCCUAUUGAUGACAAUUGUAGCAAAGAUGUAAGUAGGGAUCGUUCUAAACCAGGGAUUAACUAGGGCUGCUAAUCUACUCAAAUUAAACUCUAAAACACUGAACUAGACUUAAAUACACAAUAAUAGACUCUAUAUACUCUAAACUGACCUAAGACACUCAAAUCUGCAAAACUAAGUGAAAUUGACUCAAUUCUAAACCUAACAAGUGAUUUGGACGAAAUUAAAACUUACUUUGACUCAAAAGAUUAAAAGAAAACAGAUUGUAACUUAACUAACUCAGAAAACACUUAAAAGACUCAAAACAGAUUCUAGAGAUGAAAUUGGACGAAUUUAAGACUAAACUAAGACCCAAACAAUGUUUAUGGACAGAUUCUAACCUAUAUUGACUCAAAACACUCUAAAGAACCUAAUUAGGACAGAUUCUGACCUAAUAACAUAAAACAGAAAAUGGGGUUUGAUUUCUGACGAAAUUGAAUUAAAACUAAACAAAUUGCAAAUCAAAGUAAACUAAAACGAAAUUAAGAUGAAUUCAAGGGUGAAAAGCUAGUUAGAGGAUCCUUCUCCACACAUGAACAUAUGCAACAUAAAUCGAUUUCUAGUAUUGUUUCUUUAAACCAUGAACGACAAUGCCCUAAAUUAAUUGUGAAUGCACAAAUUAACUCUCAGAUUUCCCUAAAUUCAUUGAAUUGGAUGAAUGCAUGCAACAACCCAAAUUAUUCUU